UUCUAGCCAGUAUAAGUACGAGGUGAGAGCCCCCGCCGCCAACAAUCCACGGAGAUCGGGUUCGUCCACACAUUUCCGCCGCCGCCGCCGCCGCCGCGAACCGGAGAGCGAGGCCGACACCGCCGCCGCGAUGAGGGCCAAGUGGAAGAAGAAGAGGAUGAGGAGGCUCAAGAGGAAGCGCCGAAAGAUGAGGCAGCGAUCCAAGUAGGCGCCUUGGAGGAUGGAGGCGUAGCAUCAUCUUACAUCCAGGCAUCGAAACACCGAGGGAUGAUGGCAUAGGCUUGUGAUUCCUGAUGUGUUCUGCCGCUGUGGUUGUGGAAGUCGUUUUACCUUUGUCUUGUCAAAUUUAGCUGUUUAAUACUUGUCUGGUUAUGUUCCAGGACUGAGUUUUAUGUAAUGUGAGGAUUAUAUGUGUUUAUGACUGAAUUUUAUGCACCUAUUAUCUUUAAGCUACUCUGAAUAGUUACUUU